rnacentral:rRNA from 1 species
AAGUCGAGCGGAUGAAGAGAGCUUGCUCUCUGAUUCAGCGGCGGACGGGUGAGUAAUGCCUAGGAAUCUGCCUGAUAGUGGGGGACAACGUUUCGAAAGGAACGCUAAUACCGCAUACGUCCUACGGGAGAAAGCAGGGGACCUUCGGGCCUUGCGCUAUCAGAUGAGCCUAGGUCGGAUUAGCUAGUUGGUGAGGUAACGGCUCACCAAGGCGACGAUCCGUAACUGGUCUGAGAGGAUGAUCAGUCACACUGGAACUGAGACACGGUCCAGACUCCUACGGGAGGCAGCAGUGGGGAAUAUUGGACAAUGGGCGAAAGCCUGAUCCAGCCAUGCCGCGUGUGUGAAGAAGGUCUUCGGAUUGUAAAGCACUUUAAGUUGGGAGGAAGGGCAUUAACCUAAUACGUUAGUGUUUUGACGUUACCGACAGAAUAAGCACCGGCUAACUUCGUGCCAGCAGCCGCGGUAAUACGAAGGGUGCAAGCGUUAAUCGGAAUUACUGGGCGUAAAGCGCGCGUAGGUGGUUUGUUAAGUUGA